rnacentral:rRNA from 1 species
CUAGUCUUGCCGGUGGAUCACUCGGCUCGUGGAUCGAUGAAGAUCGCAGCCAAAUGCGAUAGCUCUUGCGAACUGCAGAUAUUCUGAGCAUCAAGAAAUCGAAUGCUCAUUGCGCCUCGGGAGUUUAUCUCUUGGCACAUCUGGUUCAGGGUCGUUU